UGCCCCAUGGCUGAGUUGGUCACAGCGUCCGACUGUUACAUUGUUGUUUCAAUGGUGAUCGGAAGGUCGAGAGUUCGAGCCUCUCUGGGGCAG